GUGCUCACUUCAACAGCACAUAUAUUACAAUUUGAACUAUACAGAGAAGAUUAGCAUGGCCCCUGCGGCAAAGCUGACAUGCAAAUUCAUGAAGCAUUCCAUAUUUUU